rnacentral:rRNA from 1 species
UUGUUCGCAAUGGGCGCAAGCCUGACGACGCAACGCCGCGUGGAGGACGAAGAUCUUCGGGUCGUAAACUCCUUUCGAUCGAGAAGAACGCCUACGGGUCUAAUACGCCCGUAGGGUGACGGUAUCGAGAGAAGAAGCCCCGGCUAACUCUGUGCCAGCAGCCGCGGUCAUACAGGGGGGGCAAGCGUUGUUCGGAAUUACUGGGCGUAAAGGGCCAGUAGGCGGCCAACUAAGUCGGAUGUGAAAUCCCCAGGCUCAACCUGGGAACUGCAUCCGAUACUGGUUGGCUUGAAUUCGGGAGAGGGAUGCAGAAUUCCAGGUGUAGCGGUGAAAUGCGUAGAUAUCUGGAGGAAUACCGGUGGCGAAGGCGGCAUCCUGGACCGACAUUGACGCUGAACGGCGAAAGCUAGGGGAGCAAACGGG